rnacentral:rRNA from 1 species
UACGAGGGGGCAAAUGUUGUUCGGAAUCACUGGGCGUAAAGGGAGCGUAGGCGGUUUUUUAAGUUAGGUGUUUAAUCCCGGGGCCCAACCCCCGGACAGGCACCUAAAACUGGGAAACUUGAAUAGGGGAGAGGUCGGUGGAAUUGGAGGUGUAGCGGUGGAAUGCGUAGAGAUCUCCAAGAACACCCGUUGCGAAGGCGGCCGACUGGACACAUAUUGACGCUGAGGCUCGAAAGCAUGGGGAGCAAACAGG